CAAGUCGAACGCGAAAGGGGAGCAAUCCCUGAGUAGAGUGGCAAACGGGUGAGUAACACGUGGGUGACCUGCCUCAGAGUGGGGGAUAACGUCCCGAAAGGGACGCUAAUACCGCAUAACAUCCUGCCUUUGGAAAGGCGGAGAUCAAAGCCGGGGAUCGCAAGACCUGGCGCUUGGAGAGGGGCCCGCGUCUGAUUAGCUAGUUGGUAGGGUAAUGGCCUACCAAGGCGACGAUCAGUAUCCGGCCUGAGAGGGCGGACGGACACACUGGGACUGAGACACGGCCCAGACUCCUACGGGAGGCAGCAGUGGGGAAUUGUUCGCAAUGGGCGCAAGCCUGACGACGCAACGCCGCGUGGAGGAUGAAGAUCUUCGGGUCGUAAACUCCUGUCGAGCGGGACGAACACUUAUCCGGUGAAUACUCGGGUAGGCUGACGGUACCGCUAAAGGAAGCCCCGGCUAACUCCGUGCCAGCAGCCGCGGUAAUACGGGGGGGGCAAGCGUUGUUCGGAAUUACUGGGCGUAAAGGGCUCGUAGGCGGCCAACUAAGUCGGACGUGAAAUCCCCAGGCUCAACCUGGGAACUGCGUCCGAUACUGGAUGGCUUGAAUCCGGGAGAGGGAUGCAGAAUUCCAGGUGUAGCGGUGAAAUGCGUAGAUAUCUGGAGGAAUACCGGUGGCGAAGGCGGCAUCCUGGACCGGCAUUGACGCUGAGGAGCGAAAGCCAGGGGAGCAAACGGGAUUAGAUACCCCGGUAGUCCUGGCCCUAAACGAUGAAUGCUUGGUGUAACGGGUAUCGAUCCCUGUUGUGC
rnacentral:rRNA from 1 species